GAGCAAGGGCGUCUGAAAAAAAUCAAUGGCGUGAUUUGCAUUGAAGGUUGGCGAUAUUAAAAUUUCAUCAGCGAUUCUCCGUGCCUAUCAAAUUCUAUUUUCUCGUUUUGAUUAUGGCCUCGAACAAGUCGCGACAUU
rfam:Citrus sinensis cultivar Ridge Pineapple sweet orange scaffold00037_contig_10, whole genome shotgun sequence.